GACGAACGCUGGCGGCGUGCUUAACACAUGCAAGUCGAACGAAGAGCGAUGGAAGCUUGCUCCUAUCAAUCUUAGUGGCGAACGGGUGAGUAACGCGUAAUCAACCUGCCCUUCAGAGGGGGACAACAGUUGGAAACGACUGCUAAUACCGCAUACGAUCUAAACUCGGCAUCGAGGAUAGAUGAAAGGUGGCCUCUACAUGUAAGCUAUCACUGAAGGAGGGGAUUGCGUCUGAUUAGCUAGUUGGAGGGGUAACGGCCCACCAAGGCGAUGAUCAGUAGCCGGUCUGAGAGGAUGAACGGCCACAUUGGGACUGAGACACGGCCCAGACUCCUACGGGAGGCAGCAGUGGGGAAUCUUCCGCAAUGGACGAAAGUCUGACGGAGCAACGCCGCGUGAGUGAUGACGGCCUUCGGGUUGUAAAGCUCUGUUAAUCGGGACGAAAGGCCUUCUUGCGAAUAGUGAGAAGGAUUGACGGUACCGGAAGAGAAAGCCACGGCUAACUACGUG
rnacentral:rRNA from 1 species